rnacentral:rRNA from 1 species
CAGCAGCCGCGGGAAUACGAAGGGGGCUAGCGUUGUUCGGAAUUACUGGGCGUAAAGCGCACGUAGGCGGAUAUUUAAGUCAGGGGUGAAAUCCCAGAGCUCAACUCUGGAACUGCCUUUGAUACUGGGUAUCUUGAGUAUGGAAGAGGUGAGUGGAAUUCCGAGUGUAGAGGUGAAAUUCGUAGAUAUUCGGAAGAACACCAGUGGCGAAGGCGGCUCACUGGUCCAUUACUGACGCUGAGGUGCGAAAGCGUGGGGAGCAAACAGGAUUAGAUACCCCCGUAGUCCCUGUCUCUUAUAC